AGGAUUCGACCGGAAGCGUCGUUACACCAACAUGUCAGUCAGGAUUGUAUCAUUGUUCCUGUUUUUUUUCCUGGCUAGUAUUCUUGUCAUUCGACCCUAUAAACUUUUAUAAAGGAAUAAGGACUGCAGUAAAUGAUCAUAUCCGUUUGCCUGUACACACGACGACAUUUGUUGCAAACACUGUACAAUGACACAGGCUUUUUGAGCUUACGCUGUAUGGUGGUAAAAUAAUGGCUACCGGUACCAGUUCAGGCCGGCCGGUGGAGAACGAUGAGACAGGGGCUUGUGGGGUGGUGCAGAGUACUGAGGCUUGUGAGGUGGUGCCAGAUAAUGGGACGAGCAGCCGAGGACCGAUAUGCCAGGAUUUGAGGCCGCAUGAACCCGUGCACAAAAGAGUGGACCGGGCCAAAUCCUUCAACACGCCGUGUAGUGCCGACUGUGAUUAUAUGUCCACUGAGAAGAAAAAUUAUUUCGGGGGAAAACUGCAAGAGUUUUGGGAGUCUAUCCCAGAAUCUCCGAAUGCCUGUUAUCACUGGAAG